AUUGAACGCUGGCGGCAGGCCUAACACAUGCAAGUCGAGCGGAUGAAGGGAGCUUUCUCCUGGAUUCAGCGGCGGACGGGUGAGUAAGUCCUAGGAAUCUGCCUUGUAUUGGGGGAUAACGUCACGAAACGGGCGCGAAUACCGCAUACGUCCAGAUGGAGAAAGGGGGGGAUCUUUGGACAUCGCGCUAUCAGAUGAGCCUAGUACGGUUUGAUGCGUUGGUGGGGUAAGGUCCUACCAAGGCGACGAUCCGUAACUGGCCUGAGGGGAUGAGCAGUCACCCUGAACCUGGGACCCGUCCCAACCCCCUAGGGGAGGCACAAGUGGGGAAUAUUCGCAAAUGGGCGAAACCCUGAUCCACCCCUGCCGCUGGUGUGAAGAAGGUCUUCGGUUUGUAAAGCCCUUUAUGUUGGGAGGAAGGGCAGUAAGUUAAUACCUUGCUGUUUUGACGUUCCCAACAGAAUAAGCACCGGCUACCUUCGU
rnacentral:rRNA from 1 species